rnacentral:rRNA from 1 species
AGAGCGAACGCUGGCGGCAGGCUUAACACAUGCAAGUCGAGCGGGCGUAGCAAUACGUCAGCGGCAGACGGGUGAGUAACGCGUGGGAACAUACCUUUUGGUUCGGAACAACACAGGGAAACUUGUGCUAAUACCGAAUAAGCCCUUACGGGGAAAGAUUUAUCGCCGAAAGAUUGGCCCGCGUCUGAUUAGCUUGUUGGUGAGGUAACGGCUCACCAAGGCGACGAUCAGUAGCUGGUCUGAGAGGAUGAUCAGCCACAUUGGGACUGAGACACGGCCCAAACUCCUACGGGAGGCAGCAGUGGGGAAUAUUGGACAAUGGGCGCAAGCCUGAUCCAGCCAUGCCGCGUGAGUGAUGAAGGCCCUAGGGUUGUAAAGCUCUUUUGUGCGGGAAGAUAAUGACGGUACCGCAAGAAUAAGCCCCGGCUAACUUCGUCGCCAGCAGCCGC